UCCCUGGUGGCUUAGAUGGUAAAGCGUCUGCCUACAAUGUGGAAGACCCAGGUUUGAUCCCUGCGUUGGGAA
rnacentral:tRNA from 1 species